rnacentral:miRNA from 1 species
GCCCAGGGAGCAAGGUCG